ensembl:lncRNA
UGCAAGUAAUCUGCUAUAAAGCAAUUAUUUUACUAGGAUAAUAUGCUAUUGCAAGUACAACACCAUAACGGCCAUGAAUGGGACGCAAAGGCAAAAAAUAAAAAAUAAAGGCUACUGGAGUGAUGAUAAUAUUUGAGAGUACAUACAAUUCAAUGGGUCCCAGUAAGAAAUAUCUAGCCUUGGUAACGUAGCUCUGUCACAGCUAGAUUGCAAAGAAACUUUCCCUUUUCAUGUGUUUCAGGCAGCAAAAUGCUGGGUUUAGAAGACUGCGAGCCAGUUUCCUGCAUACCACUAUAAUUAACUUGCGUGCGGAGAUCAAAGAUCCGAGGGCUAAGGAAAUAAUUGAUUGUGCCAGAAAACGCUUCCCUGGCGCAGCCCACGGUCAGCCGCCACCCACGGCAGGUCCAGUGCUGCUCCGUUCCCCCACCACCCUGCACGGUGGCCCUCGCAGAGUGCCCAUCCUCCUCCCCUCUACCCUGAACACAGCCGGUGGCCGAACGUCUUCCCGAGGCAUUGGUGCUCGAGUCCCUCCAUCUUCAAUAAAAAUGAAGCAGACUACGAAGGCUGACACGGGUCCAGGCUGAAACUCCACUCGCUGUAUUUAUUUCGUGCAGUUCGAUGCAGGCCCUCUCAUUUCAGCUGUUUGAAACGAUGUGUCGCUAGGAAGAGGUCACAGGUGACUGGCAAGUUCAACCUACUUAGCUCAAUUAUCCAAGUUUCAUUUUCAAAUUGUGUUCAAUUUGAUCUUCCUCCUUCCCUCCAAAUUAUCUCAGAGAAAAAAAAAAUCAAAUGAAAGCAGACAAUUUAAGCCAAAUCCUGUAUACCAUUAUUUAUAUGCAAAACCAUUUUUGUGAUAUAUACUCCCCUUAAUGACUAUGGAAUGCCAGAUCUUUCCAAGAGAAUUUACAAACCCAGCCAUCAAAUUAUUUCAAAGGCAGGCCUAUUAGGGACAAAAAUAAUUAUGAACUUUCAGAAGCUUUGUAAAAACAUAAGUUUCUGAAUGUUGUCUCUUUAAAUUUUUCUUAAGUUUGUUUUUAGUUUAAGCCUGGAGGCACAGUAGAGAGAUCUGCAGAGUCUAAUAAGGAGUUUGGAAAAUAAUGUGCUGUAAUCCAGUGCCGAGCUACUUCUCCAUAAAAUAUGGAUUAGGAAUCAAUUCAUAAGCACAAAUAUCUGCUAGGAUAGGGUUUUAACAAACAUUUCACAUGAGCAUUCUUAUAUGCAUUAUUAAGUAUAUAACAAAAGUGAUUCAAUUCAAACCCUAUACAGUCACAUCUGGAAAUGGUCUUUUCUGUCUAAUUUUCAUUUUUUUUCUCUCAAAAAAAUAAAAAAGUUAGAAGAAAAACUAG